rnacentral:rRNA from 1 species
AUUGAACGCUGGCGGCAGGCUUAACACAUGCAAGUCGAGCGGGGUGAUGGUGCUUGCACUAUCACUUAGCGGCGGACGGGUGAGUAAUGCUUAGGAAUCUGCCUAUUAGUGGGGGACAACAUCUCGAAAGGGAUGCUAAUACCGCAUACGUCCUACGGGAGAAAGCAGGGGAUCACUUGUGACCUUGCGCUAAUAGAUGAGCCUAAGUCGGAUCAGCUAGUUGGUGGGGUAAAGGCCUACCAAGGCGACGAUCUGUAGCGGGUCUGAGAGGAUGAUCCGCCACACUGGGACUGAGACACGGCCCAGACUCCUACGGGAGGCAGCAGGGGGGAAUAUUGGACAAUGGGGGGAACCCUGAUCCAGCCAUGCCGCGUGUGUGAAGAAGGCCUUAUGGUUGUAAAGCACUUUAAGCGAGGAGGAGGCUCUUUUGGUUAAUACCCAAGAUGAGUGGACGUUACUCGCAGAAUAAGCACCGGCUAACUCUGUGCCAGCAGCCGCCGUAA